GAUGAACGCUGGCGGCGUGCCUAAUACAUGCAAGUCGAGCGAACAGACGAGGAGCUUGCUCCUCUGACGUUAGCGGCGGACGGGUGAGUAACACGUGGAUAACCUACCUAUAAGACUGGGAUAACUUCGGGAAACCGGAGCUAAUACCGGAUAAUAUAUUGAACCGCAUGGUUCAAUAGUGAAAGACGGUUUUGCUGACACUUAUAGAUGGAUCCGCGCCGCAUUAGCUAGUUGGUAAGGUAACGGCUUACCAAGGCGACGAUGCGUAGCCGACCUGAGAGGGUGAUCGGCCACACUGGAACUGAGACACGGUCCAGACUCCUACGGGAGGCAGCAGUAGGGAAUCUUCCGCAAUGGGCGAAAGCCUGACGGAGCAACGCCGCGUGAGUGAUGAAGGUCUUCGGAUCGUAAAACUCUGUUAUUAGGGAAGAACAAAUGUGUAAGUAACUAUGCACGUCUUGACGGUACCUAAUCAGAAAGCCACGGCUAACUACGUG
rnacentral:rRNA from 1 species